ACGAGGGGCUUGUCAAACAUUUAGUUAUUGUUUUUAGCUUUAACUUGUAUUUUGUUUGGUUUCUAAUUAAAAUUGAAAUUACAAAACUGAUUAUGAUUAGUGAGUGUUUUGGAGCACCAAAACACAAUUUUUUGUUGCUGCUGGGUGAGCUUGGGUCUCUUUUGGUGGAGCUAAUCCUCCGUCUCCCUUGCUGUAGCUGACAGAAAGCUCCUAAACUGUCCGCCUUGACUGUAGCUUCAUGAUACCACCCACUGCUGCCAUGGUCUGUUCUCCUUUGAUGUCCAGCGGAGACCUGGCUGAGCAACCUGACAGAACGAUUCAAGUACCGGGCUUCCAGGUGUUCAGAGCAGAUCGCUGUCUGGAAAAGCAAGAGGAGGUGGAAUCUGUUUCUACAUAAAUGAAGGACCUGAAGUGGACGUCCAACACCAGGACCAUCAUCA